UAAGGUGGUUAUUGCGGCGGGGCUCACCUCUUCCCAUCCCGAACAGAGAAGUUAAGCCCGCCUGCGCAG
rnacentral:rRNA from 1 species